rnacentral:snRNA from 1 species
AGGUAUGAUAGCUCUUUUAGAAUUUGUCUAGCAAUUUUCCCAGUUUUCACUGGAAAAUUCAU